rnacentral:rRNA from 1 species
UACGUAGGGUGCAAGCGUUGUCCGGAAUUAUUGGGCGUAAAGAGCUCGUAGGCGGUUUGUCGCGUCUGCUGUGAAAACGCGAGGCUCAACCUCGCGCCUGCAGUCGAUACGGGCAGACUAGAGUGCGGUAGGGGAGACUGGAAUUCCUGGUGUAGCGGUGAAAUGCGCAGAUAUCAGGAGGAACACCGGUGGCGAAGGCGGGUCUCUGGGCCGUAACUGACGCUGAGGAGCGAAAGCGUGGGGAGCGAACAGG